CAGUCGCCGCGGUAAUACGAGGGGGGCAAGCGUUGUUCGGAAUUAUUGGGCGUAAAGGGUGCGUAGGCGGCUUGACAAGUCUUGUGCGAAAUCUAUGGGCUCAACCCAUAGUCUGCACGGGAAACUGUCGGGCUUGAGAAUGGGAGAGGUGAGUGGAAUUUCCGGUGUAGCGGUGAAAUGCGUAGAUAUCGGAAGGAACACCAGUGGCGAAGGCGGCUCACUGGACGCGUAUUGACGCUGAGGUGCGAAAGCGUGGGGAGCAAACAGGAUUAGAUACCCCAGUAGUCCCUGUCUCUUAUAC
rnacentral:rRNA from 1 species